UUGAACACUUUAAUUUAGCAAGCCAAGUCUGAAACUUGUACAAACUUUUCCUUCUGUUUCAUUCCAUGUAGGGUUUGCACCGAGAGCUUCCCUUUGAGCUUCAGGUUUGAAAGGAUGUAAAAAUUCAAAGCAAAGUUCAAUCCAAACACGCAAGCAUCACCUGGUUUUUGCCUCAAAAUCAUGCAAUGCUGCAAGCCUAUGAUAUGAAAUGGGCCCAAAUUGACUCCAAAUUAUUUAGAUCAUUAGUGAACCUCUCUCCAAGAACCUGCUCCAGUAACAAAAGCCAGCACCAAGCAAGUCAUGUGUGAUUUGGUGGUUUCCAUGAAAAGUCUGUGCAUAGCAAUGGGGAAACUGAGGCAGAGUGAUUCCAUGACUUGCCCAAAGCUACAGAGGGAGUCAGUAUCAGAGACAGGAGGAGGAUUUGGGGACUCCUAUCUCCCAAUCCUGCACACAGACCAGCACUGCACUUGGCCGAGUGCUCAGAGGAGGUUGAUGAAUCACUCCUUUUUCGGGGCAGCUGCUUCUUUGGAUCCUCUCCGUUGCUCCGAGGAAUAUCAAUGUUGCUUCUGCUGAGGUGUCUGCUGGCCUCCAGGUUGGAGCCACUGGAACAAU